rnacentral:lncRNA from 1 species
UGAUGAUGAGGAUAUUGAUGAUGAGGCUACCGGUUCUGAAGCCGGUAGUGAAGAGGAGUCUUGAGCCCUUUGUGGGUUAAGUUUUUGAGUAUUUGUAUUUCAGUUUUUAUUAUGUCAUUUUUAUUUGUACUUUCGAAUUUUGUAUUUUGACCAUGGGUUGUACUAUUGGGGUGUUUUGUCCCCCACGAACAAAAUUUUAUUUUUCAGUUAAUGUUAUUUAUGUUUGUUGUUAAUUUUGUGUGUUUAAUAAAUUUUUGGUUGAAUGAGUGGCAAACCCUUCUAGAUUGGUUGCUCCUCAAGAAGUACCCAAUGAAGGUGCAUCCGAGCUUGGAUGGCAAUGAUAAGAAUAACAAGUGAAUGAAGCUAAG